rnacentral:lncRNA from 1 species
CUCAAAGCUGAGGACUGGGAGGCACGAGUGCUGCCUGCCUCACUGUCAUCUCACGUGGGCUGAGGAUGAAGCCAAUCCCGGAUGAGGAGGAAACAUGUGCAAUGAAGAGAAAUGGAAUUGUCGGGGCAUCAUCUGAACAUCCACCAACCCAUACCUGGAAGAGUUCCUCCCUCUGGCUUUUUUAGUUCCGAACCCAACCUGUUACAGUUGGUGCUGAACAUGAGUCAGGAAAGCAGACACUGGGGUGGAGAGGUUGGAGCUGAACCACCUGCUGCUCAGCUGGCAAUGAGACGCCUGGCACCGAUCGCCCCUGGCCCAGGAGGACGGAGAAAGCAGAAACCAGGCUCAGGAUCCACAGAAGAUGCAACUCCAACCAAGGCAGGUCUACUGUGCCAAGGCCAGGGCCCUGGUUAGAAGAGAGCGCAACCCUGUGGCCUGCCACAGUGGCUCACACUUGUAAUCUCAGCACUUUGGGAGGCCGAG